rnacentral:lncRNA from 1 species
UACACUAGUUUAGGAUAAAAAUAAGGAAAACAUCUCCGGUCCGUAGUGAAUAAUAUCUCAUCUAACGAACUAUGAGCCUCCAUAAUAGGACCGAUUAUAGAUCAUAAUUUUGGUUAGCAUUUAAUUAUUUACUUGGCAGGUCACCUAUUUUUAGCAUAAGGAGGAAUACAUAGCUUAGGAACCAUAUCCACGAGUCCAAUCAAAAAAAGAAGUAUAUUAAAUAUGAGGUAGGAUGUGAUUUCAGCAUUUGAUGCUUGUAAUUUUUAGCAUAAUCAGGAAUACAUGGUUUAGGAACCAUAUCCACGA